UUUGUUUCUAAAGAUAUUCAUUUUUACUUUUUAAAAUUACUCAGUUAUGAUUUAGCUGCGUUAUGACCUGCAGUUUCUCAACACUUCUAGAGUUUACCGAUCACUGACUAUAGCCAGUGCUGACUCUUCAGAAGAGCUUAGUAACUUCCUGCCUACCACUCAGUGAGGCAAAAACGGGACAAGCCUGAAAGGUUUACAUCGUUUUGCUUCACGGAGUAAAAAUAAUGUUGGCUGCUUAAGAAAUUAACCUGAAGCAAAUAAUGUGGGGUUUUUUUAGUGCUUCAAGUGCAUGCUACAAAAUAGGUUUACUACAAUCUACGAUUCAUUUUACAAAGAUAGGGUAAAAAAACACAAACAACCCAGGUCACUUGAGAACGUUGGCAAAAUAAAAGCGAAACAGACCUGACGACUGUAAUAAGGAGAUGCCUCUCUAUUUGCAUAAUAUGCUACAGGUUGUCCGCGCACCUGCGGAUCCACACCGCUACAGCAGGCGCGCUCCGUCCGUACCCCCAGGGAGGACGCACAGGAAACUGUUGCUGCUGCUGUCUGGGGAAGGAAUUAGCAUAAAAUCCUUGGCCACUGAAAAGGGCAAGAAGUGCUCUAAAAUGUGUUUGGGAAAGAAGAAAACAAAUCACCUAGAUCUUGCAGCUCAGCCCAUCAGGGCCAGGGUGGCAGGGUGAUGACUGAAGGUGGAGCCUGCAGUUCAGUGAAUCACCGACGAGGAAAGGGGUGGGAUCCACCAGGGCCAGACAUGCUCUGUAAGUUCCUCUGAAAUCUAAGCUUUUGGUGACUCCUCCUCAUCAUGUGCUUACAGCCAAUGCCCACAUGGCUCAGGUAGGCUGAGUGCUAUGGAUAUAGAAGGUGUCAAAAGCUUUGACCUUCACCUUCUCUCACCUUCUCCCAAAAUAAUCUGGUGAAAGGUUGCUAUGGAUUAAAUUGUGUCCUGUCAUAAGAGGCAUGUUGAAAUCCUAAACCCCAGGACUUCAGAAUGGGACCUGACUUGGAAAUGAAGUUAUUGCAGAUGUAAAGAUGAGGUCGUCCUGGAUUAGGGGUAGUGUAUCUUUAUAAGAAGACAGCCCUGCAAAGACGGAGACCCACAAGGAAGAUGUCCUGUGAUGGCAAAGCAGAUAUGGCAGUUACACGGCGGCACGCCAGGGGAUGCCAGAGAUGGCCAGAAAGUCACUAGAAGCUGCCAAGAGUCAAGGAAGGACUCUUUCACAAAUCAGAGGGAGCAUGUCUCUUCAAAAACCUGAUUUCAGACUUCUAGCCUCCACAACAAUGAGACAGUAAAUCUGUUUUAACCUAUCCAGUUUGUUUUUAUUGCAUUAAAGUAGCUCUAGGAAAGUACUACUUUCCUAGAAAGUACUGGAAUACCUAGGAAAGUGCUGGAGUACUCUUGCCUGAGAAAUUCCAUGGACAGAGGAGCCUUGUAAGCCACAGUCCAUGGGGUCACAAAGAGUCGGACAUGACUGAGUGACUCCACUUUCACCCACUCACAGGAAAGUAAUACAAAAGUCACUGUCUCAUUUGAUACUGCAAUAGAUGCUCACCAUUUGUCAGUUUCCUCAUUUUUGACCUCCCCAAAACCCAAUUGAAUUAUUCAGGCUACUUUAAACUGCCAGUUUGCAGAUCACAUAUGCUACAGUGCUUAACUUUGUUUUACUAAAAGCAUGUUCAGCAGCUCUCCAGAUUUUAGGCUACACAAAGAACCUUGCAUGAUCUAAGGAAAAGUCAGGACUGUAGACAGUGCACUUGAUUCUAUGCUCUUUGUAACAUUCAGGUACAGUAUUUUUUCUUAUGUUAAGAGGCUGAUAUUGUAUCCAGAUAUAUAGAAAAAGUACCCAUACCCUAUGACUUUUUUCAUUCUGUUCUAAUUUCAUCUCAUGCUUAAAGAUGCAAAGUUGACUAUGGAGUAUAUGAUGGCUGUAUUUUUUGAUCCAAAAUAUAAGAUCUCAAUACCAUCAUUCCCAUUCCAAUUUGUGGAUUUCUAACUCUAAAAUUAGAUGCAGACCUAAUUGAAAAAUAUGGAAAGAAAAUGAACAGACACUUCACCCCCAAAGGAAAUUCAAGUGACUCAGACAUAAUACAAGAAAAAAAAGAUGUUCUAUCUGAUUUAUAAUAAACAUGAAAAUUAAAAUGUUAAGCAGUUACCCUAGUCCAUUACCAAUUUAGCAAAGAUCAAAAAGUUCAGUUACAUUGUAUUGAUGAGGGUGACUGGAAAUAUAGGCAAUGCUGAUGUAAACUGUUGCAGUAUUAAUGGAAAGCUCAUUAUAUAUAUUAAAAACUUAAGUGUAUGUGUCCUUUAACCCUGAAAUAUCACACCUAUGACUUUAAAAUUGGACUUUCUUUUUCUGGAGAAGUUUUAGCAAAAUUGAGUGGCAAUUACAGACGUUUCCCAUAUACCACCUUUGUCCACAUAGGUUCACAACCUCCCCUACCACCACAUUCCCACACUGGGAAUUUGUUACAAAGGAUGAAUCUGCGCUGACACGUCAGCAUAAUCCAAAGCCCAUAGUUUACAUUAGGUUCAUUCU